CUCAACGCAGCCCAAGGAGACUGGGUCUCCAAACUUCUGAUUCAUUUCAUCAAAGAUUUCUAUUUCAGUCCCAAGAGGGAACGCUGGUCCCCUUCCCCAGAGAGACUAGGGCUGCUCCGCGGUCCCUUUAGCCCACGCCGGGGGUUCACAUACACCCAUCUUUUCCCAGCACAGUCUGUAGCGCACACGCUGCUGUCCUGGCGGGAUGCACUUGCAGCUUCUGCACCAGGCAGCCAGGCUCUGACCGCGUCCCUAAGACCCAAGCCCUGCCGUGCCAGGUUUAGGGCAUUGUAUGACACCGCCGCUGCCCAAGGGCCACCCCGCACCAGCACAGAGCCAGCAGGAUGCCGAGGCAGGCUCGCAGCCCGCAGCCACCCAAGGAGCCCCCCCCGCCCCGCCGCCGUGGGGGUCUCUUACCUCGCCUGGAGCCCCCUCCCGCAGCAGCUCCCGUCCCUCCGCAGUCUCCCCGCUCUCCCUCCCGCGCCACCUCCCCGUGAUGUCAGCGCAGCCGCCCCAGCACGCCGCCCAUCGCACCGCACCGCACCGCUCCUGGCACCAUGCUGCCCUUCGCAACGGUUGCCACAGCAACAGGAGGGGGAAUCCCAUCCUCUGGUCCUCCACCUCCCGGGGGGGCCCGCUCCGUACCGCCCGCUGCAGCCCCCCGGGAGGGCCGGGCACCGCGGAAGGACGGGGCGAGAGCAGGAGGUGCGGUGGGCGAAGGGCAGCGAUGCCAGGAGAAGCCGGCUCUCUGUGCUGAGGGGAGGCAGAGCAGAGAUGGUCACGGGUGGCAGGCUCAGAGAACCAGGGGGUGCCCUUCUCCCCAGCAGUCACCCUUGUUCCCCAGCGCCCUUCUCCCCAGCAGUUACCCUUAUUCCCCUGUGCCAUUCUCCCCGGCAGUCACCCUUGUUCUCCACGCAGAGCUGCACAGCUCCAUCCCAUCCCACCCCAUCCCACACCCUUCCCUGUUCAUGUUUUGUUCCCCAGCCCCAUGCUCUUUCUGUAACAGGGCCGUGCACAGGUCCGUGCUGUGCCACCCCCCACGCAGCCCCUGCCCCAGCAGGAUUUGGGCUACUUGCCCAUAGCAGGCGCCCUUGCAGGGACUCGUCCUCCCCCCCAGGUUGA
rnacentral:lncRNA from 1 species